rnacentral:lncRNA from 1 species
GUGAAGAAAAUGUCCACCAAAUUAAAAAUAAUAAUAAUAUCAUUUCCUCAUUUAUCAUGCGCUUAUUGGCAUCGCAGUAUUGGCAAUAUAUAUUUUCAGAAGUGGGGGGAAAGGAAAAAGAUGCUGUUAGAUUCGGGACAUUUGGGAGUGUUUCCUACACCAAAUCGUAAGCUGUCAGGAACCAUGGCUACACAGACUCUGCAGCAUCUGAAGAAUCUGCCACGCCCCUCGGCAAUUGUCAGGCUCAAAAACGUUUCUCUGACCCUGUGGAGUUCUCUGGUGUCGAUGAGACUGAAUUUUGGCUUUGUUCCCAGUCUGGAUCACUCUGCAUUGGGUUCCCAAGCCUAUGGUGCGCCUGGCAACCUCGUGUGACUAGGUCUUGAAGCUUCAUGGAUGUUCUCGCUGUAUCCAGCUUCCAAAGUAACGGUCAGAAAUAAAACAAGCACAGUUUAGAAUUUCACUCCUGGGAAAGCUAGUGGAAGAUUACCUUAAUAGCUCCGUGUAGUGGCCACCACUCUCGCCGGCCCGAAACUACAGAAUACAGGAAUAUGGUUAUAGCAUCGAAUCCCUGGAGAGUCACAAUUCAAAGCUUUGGCAGAAUAAAUGAGUUCUAAUUUGUUAUCAAGGAACCUUGCAACAUUUGAAAGCAUUGCUUCAUUUAUUCGCAUACUCAUUUUUUUUUUUAAUGGUGGCGACUGGCAUGGUGGGCAUGCUUGUAACCCCAGCGCUCAGGAGGCUGAAGCAAAAGAAUCAAUGUGAGUUUGUGAUCAGCCUGGCCUACAGUCUCAAAACACACAGACUCACACACACACAGUGCUUCUAGAAUCACUCUUAGAAGGAUUUCCAGCCUAGGGUACUAAAUAUUUGCUUUAACACUAA